GAUGAACGCUAGCUACAGGCUUAACACAUGCAAGUCGAGGGGAAACGACAUCGAAAGCUUGCUUUUGAUGGGCGUCGACCGGCGCACGGGUGAGUAACGCGUAUCCAACCUGCCCAUCACUUGGGAAUAACCUUGCGAAAGUAAGACUAAUACCCAAUGACAUCCCACGAAGACAUCUGAAUGGGAUUAAAGAUUUAUCGGUGAUGGAUGGGGAUGCGUCUGAUUAGCUUGUUGGCAGGGUAACGGCCCACCAAGGCAACGAUCAGUAGGGGUUCUGAGAGGAAGGUCCCCCACAUUGGAACUGAGACACGGUCCAAACUCCUACGGGAGGCAGCAGUGAGGAAUAUUGGUCAAUGGGCGAGAGCCUGAACCAGCCAAGUAGCGUGCAGGAUGACGGCCCUAUGGGUUGUAAACUGCUUUUAUAAGGGAAUAAAGUGGGUCUCGGGAGACUUUUUGCAUGUACCUUAUGAAUAAGGACCGGCUAAUUCCGUG
rnacentral:rRNA from 1 species